rnacentral:rRNA from 1 species
UUCGGAAUAUUCGGCAAUGGACGAAAGUCUGACCGAGCGACGCCGCGUGCGGGAUGAAGGCCCUAUGGGUUGUAAACCGCUUUCGCGAUUUAACAAGUCACGCCAUCCUAACAAGAUGGUGUGUUGAGCAAGGAUCGUAAAGAAGCCCCCGCUAAUCACGUGCCAGCAGCGGCGGUAAUACGUGAGGGGCGAACGUUGUUCGGUGUCACUGGGCUUAAAGGGCGCGUAGGUGGUUGCGUAAGUAACGUGUGAAAUCCCUCGGCUUACCCGGGGAAUUGCAUGUUAUACUGCGUGGCUUGAGGAUCAGAGGGGAAUGGGGAACUCCAGGUGUAGCGGUGAAAUGCGCAGAUAUCUGGGGGAAGGCCGGCGGCGAAGGCGCCAUUCUGGCUGAUUCCUGACACUGAGGCGCGAAAGCGUGGGGAGCAAACAGGAUUAGAUACCCGCGUAGUCC